rnacentral:rRNA from 1 species
GAUGAACGCUGGCGGCGUGCUUAACACAUGCAAGUCGAACGAUGAAGCUCAGCUUGCUGGGUGGAUUAGUGGCGAACGGGUGAGUAACACGUGAGUAACCUGCCCCUAACUCUGGGAUAAGCCUGGGAAACUAGGUCUAAUACCGGAUAGGAGCGCCUACCGCAUGGUGGGUGUUGGAAAGAUUUAUCGGUUUUGGAUGGACUCGCGGCCUAUCAGCUUGUUGGUGAGGUAAUGACUCACCAAGGCGACGACGGGUAGCCGGCCUGAGAGGGUGACCGGCCACACUGGGACUGAGACACGGCCCAGACUCCUACGGGAGGCAGCAGUGGGGAAUAUUGCACAAUGGGCGAAAGCCUGAUGCAGCGACGCCGCGUGAGGGAUGACGGCCUUCGGGUUGUAAACCUCUUUCAGUAGGGAAGAAGCGAAAGUGACGGUACCUGCAGAAGAAGCACCGGCUAACUACGUG